CCAUCCGCAACGGAGGUCCCUAAGGAAUCCUUAACAUUAAUCCUUAAGGUUAAUGAAAUAUAAUAAUAAUAUUUUGGCUUAACUAACUAUGGAUCAAUCCUUCAAGAAGGAUUGGAAGGACUUGAUCCUUAAUACACGUGUCUCCUUAUCCUCCUCUUUCUCCUUCGCUCUCUCUAUAUCUCCUCCCUGGCUCUCUCUCAAUCUCUCCUCGCUAGCCCCAUCAUCGCCCACCAUGGCUCCUCUAUCAUCUUCCUCUUCUUCUUCAUCACCCAACCCUAGAUUAUUUUCAUAAAAAUUGGGGCUUUCUCAUCCGAUCCCAAUCGAGUUCUCACCUCAGGUUCGUCGAAAAUUGGGGCUUUUGCUGGAUUAGAUCAACACUAUGCUCGUUGCUAUUGGGAGUUUUCUAAAGCUCGACUCAGGAAGCAGAUUCGUAUGUUUCCUUCUCCACGACUUCUGUAUUUUGACACAUUCGUUGUUUCUUUUGAAGAUAUAAAGUUGGAAGAAUCGAGCAGUUAGAAACAUCU